GCCUACGGGACGCAGCAGUGGGGGAUAUUGCACAAUGGGCGCAAGCCUGAUGCAGCGACGCCGCGUGUGGGAAGACGGUCCUCGGAUUGUAAACCACUGGCUUUGGGGACGAUAAUGACGGUACCCAAGGAGGAAGCUCCGGCUAACUACGUGCCAGCAGCCGCGGUAAUACGUAGGGAGCGAGCGUUGUCCGGAAUUACUGGGUGUAAAGGGAGCGUAGGCGGGAUAUCAAGUUGAAUGUGAAAUCUACUGGCUCAACUGGUAGGCUGCGUUCAAAACUGAUAUUCUUGAGUG
rnacentral:rRNA from 1 species